CCACCAGAAACUUAAUAGAUGCUUUAGGUUUACCUGAAUGAAAUGACUAAACAUAGUAUGUAGAUCUAAACUUUGAAUAGUUAUUCAUACUAUCUGCUUAUCCACUUAUAAAAGACUUGAGCAGUGUCUUCUAAUUUAUAGGCAUUUCUUGCUCCUUUCAAAUGAUCUUUUAAACCUGAUAUGCCUUCCAAAGAGAGAAAUGCUCACCUUUUGAAUUCUGACAUCAGUAUGGACACUUAGAUGCUAAUGUGAUAAGUCUCUUUGAAAUAAAUAUUUUAAAUAGGAUUUUACUGCUUUAAUAAACUGUUUUCCUGCUUCUCUGUUUUCUCAUUUUGAUCAGCAGUGCAAGAAAACACCUAGAUGGGGUUGUCAAGUCUCAUCCAUCAUCAAAAAUCAAGUCAGAAAUCUGAAUGAGAAUCUCUAGGCACUUCCAGUGCUCAUGUUCAGCCCCAACUCUGAGAGUAAGGCUGUCUGUUGGUAAGUGGAUUUAUGAUAACCCCAUGUCUCCACUUUGUUUCUGCCUUGACAACCUGUUCCAAGUGUGAUGAACUAAAAUAGAAGUUGUAUCUAGAGGAGCAACUCUAGAGAGUUGCUCUAGGAGAGGCUCUGCAUUUAAGAGGUGUAAAAUCAGUAUAGUACUUUGAGACAGCAGUUUAUAUCUGGUUCCCAGGGUUUUUACAAUAAUAAUAUUAAAGGAAACAAUGAUAAUAAUUGUUGGUAUAUUAUUAAGAGAUUUACUAGUUUAGCUGUGACAGACAAGUACUAUGGUAGAUGGUAUUAUUGUUCCUAGUUGCUUGCUCCUUCCCCGUAAGAGAAUUAUAAGGCUCUGCUCGUCACCUACAGUGUCUCCUGUGGCAGGAGUAUACGUGGAUUCCACUGAUGCUAUGUCUAGGUAAAAGAUUUAAGAGACUUUGUGUGUUUCCACUAGCCCCCAUGCCCCCACUUUGC
rnacentral:lncRNA from 1 species